AUGCUCACUUCAGCAGCACAUACACUAAAAUUGGAAUGAUACAGAGGAGAUUAGCAUGGCCCCUGUGCAAGAAUGACAUGCAAAUUCAUGAAGCAUUCUAUAUUUUU